GUAAAGGGAAAGGAGAAUUUAUUAACAAAGAAGACUGAUGUGUACACCACAUGACUUCCUUGUACGGAAUAUUAAAUUAUACGCAUUUUUUCCUGCAUUUCAUUUAAACUUGUUUCCUCGAAUUUCAUUAGAAUACUUUACUUUUCCUCCACACGAUGAGAUUUCGAGAGAAAGAAGAUGCCGGGCAAAUUAUCCAUAAAACAGAUUGUCGGUCAAACACUUGAACAAAAAUUGGGGUACAAACUGGGGUGAUAAUGGAUACAUCAAAAUGGUCAGCAACAAAAACAAUCAAUAUAAAAUUGCAGCAAAGACCAGUUUCCCAAGAAUGUGAUUGUCGUCUGAAUAAGAAUAAUUUGAAAAUAAAUUUUAUCUACAUUAGCCUUCCUGAAAUCUUUAUAAGAAACUCCCAUUUACCAUGAAAAAUAAAAUAUCUACUAUACCUUCAAAGUUUUAUAUACUUUUAUUUUAAAGUGGAUCAACUUUGUGCAGAGGCAAUUUCUUAGGUUUAUUAAAGAUUUUUUAUCAGCAGAAAAUGAGUUUCGAUAGGUGGCUAUUGCCUAAGCUACAUAAAAGAAUGUGCUGUCAAUUUAAUGAAUUUGUGAAUAUUUGUAUAAGACAUCGUUUCUUUUUAAUAGUUUUGUGAAUGAACUCAACCUUGUACUCAACAUUGCUGCCAGGGAAAAAAAAAAAAAAAAAAAAAAUACGCAUAAAAGGAAAAUAAAUUGCUCUUAAUGACUUUCUAUGGGACAUAUUGACAUAAUCAAAUAUUGUUCCAAUAGAAAUUUUAAUUUAGAAAAAAUAUAAAUGCUUACAUACAAAAGUUUACAAAUCUUUUAACGAAACUUUGAAAGUGAAAAUAAGCAAUUCAAUUUAUGUUGAACACUAGAUAGCAGCACGAGGAAGU
rnacentral:lncRNA from 1 species